CGCUCUUGCGGCAGCUAUAAUGCAGUCGAGCGACUGAUUAGAAGGCUUGCUUCUAUGACGUUAGCGGCGGACGGGUGAGUAACACGUGGGCAACCUGCCUGUAAGACUGGGAUAACUUCGGGAAACCGAAGCUAAUACCGGAUAGGAUCUUCUCCUUCAUGGGAGAUGAUUGAAAGAUGGUUUCGGCUAUCACUUACAGAUGGGCCCGCGGUGCAUUAUCUAGUUGGUGAGGUAACGGCUCACCAAGGCAUCGAUGCAUAGCCGACCUGACAGG
rnacentral:rRNA from 1 species